rnacentral:rRNA from 1 species
AGAAACCAACAGGGAUUGCCCUAGUAACGGCGAGUGAAGCGGCAACAGCUCAAAUUUGAAAUCUGGCCUUCGGGUCCGAGUUGUAAUUUGCAGAGGAUGCUUUUGGCGCGGUGCCUUCCGAGUUCCCUGGAACGGGACGCCUUAGAGGGUGAGAGCCCCGUACGGUUGGACACCAAGCCUCUGUAAAGCUCCUUCGACGAGUCGAGUAGUUUGGGAAUGCUGCUCUAAAUGGGAGGUAAAUUUCUUCUAAAGCUAAAUAUUGGCCAGAGACCGAUAGCGCACAAGUAGAGUGAUCGAAAGAUGAAAAGCACUUUGAAAAGAGGGUUAAAUAGCACGUGAAAUUGUUGAAAGGGAAGCGUUUGCGACCAGACCUCUUCAUGGCGGAUCAUCCGGUGUUCUCACCGGUGCACUUCGCCACGUCGAGGCCAGCAUCGGUUUCUGUAGGGGGAUAAAAGCUCUGGGAACGUAGCUCCUCCGGGAGUGUUAUAGCCCUCUGCAUAAUACCUUUACGGGGACCGAGGACCGCGCUUUAUUGCAAGGAUGCUGGCGUAAUGGUCGUCAACGACCCGUCUUGAAACACGGACCAAGGAGUCGAACAUUUAUGCGAGUGUUUGGGUGUUAAACCCUCACGCGUAAUGAAGGUGAACGCAGGUGAGAGCCCUUACGGGUGCAUCAUCGACCGAUCCUGAUGUCUUCGGAUGGAUUUGAGUAAGAGCAUAGCUGUUCGGACCCGAAAGAUGGUGAACUAUGCGUGGAUAGGGUGAAGCCAGAGGAAACUCUGGUGGAGGCUCGCAGCGGUUCUGACGUGCAAAUCGAUCGUCAAAUCUGCGCAUGGGGGCGAAAGACUUAUCGAACCAUCUAGUAGCUGGU